rnacentral:sRNA from 1 species
AUAUCUCUCUGUACGGGAAGGAUGAGAAGCUUCGACUAAGGUUCGAUUCGAGCGAAAGCGAGAAAGCGUUGCCAACGGCAACGACCCGAAGGGCGAAGCGCGCAG